GGGGAAGGGAUAUGAUGAAAAAAUUUAAUCGGGGGAGACAGGCUGGUCAGAGAACUGGGAAGGGGGAGGGAUGGAGAGAGAGGGAAAGCAAGGGUUACUUGAAGUUAGAAACAG